CAGUAGCCACGGUAAUACGAAGGGGGCUAGCGUUGUUCGGAAUUACUGGGCGUAAAGGGCGCGUAGGCGGCCAUUCAAGUUAGAUGUGAAAGCCCUGGGCUCAACCUAGGAAUUGCAUUUGAUACUGUUUGGCUUGUGUUCGGGAGAGGUGAGUGGAAUUCCCAGUGUAGAGGUGAAAUUCGUAGAUAUUGGGAAGAACACCAGUGGCGAAGGCGGCUCACUGGACCGACACUGACGCUGAGGCGCGAAAGCGUGGGGAGCAAACAGGAUUAGAUACCCCCGUAGUCCCUGUCUCUUAUAC
rnacentral:rRNA from 1 species